UUUUGUUCCAACAGAUUAAUAAAAGCCAACCAGAAAAUUCUGAACAAAUAAAGACAACUUCAUUAGUAACAUGUAAACAGACACUGUAUAUCAGACAAUACGACAAAUGUUCUUGUGUAGAUCGCUUCCAUUUAUAAAAUUCACCUCUUUAAUUGGUCUGUAAAUAAAUAUAUAAUACUGGAAAAAAUAAGGCAGCGUGCAGUCUGGCUACCUAAUCACUUAUUCACUAUUUUCUGUACCCAGGAAAAAUCCGGAAACCUUGAAGUUAUCUGAAACCGGCCGCCCUCUACGCAAGCGAACAUCUCGACUCUGAAUGUUUCUACGUCGUGCUGCCACCCCAGGACUGGCCGACUGAAUGUUCACAUAAGAGUUCAGGAGUACCGAUGUAUCUAACGAAGUCGAUCGACGUCAAGAAACGACGGGACUAUUUGCUCACGCAAAGUGACGAACCUCGACCCGUCCUGGCUCAUAAAAAAGAUGUGACGUUCUUACGAUCAGAGGCCAGAAGAAGAAGGUGAGGAUCUUGUGCAGUUUCAGAAGGUAGAGCAACAGCAGAGCCAAGGUGACGAUCGACUCCAAACAAGCCACGGCGAUGUACGGAGGCACGCCGGCUACCGCGUAACACAGGAACGCCACGAACAUCACCGCCUACAAAGAGGUCAAAGUUGGCGUACCUGGCCAGGCGCUAUAAGGAACCAGGCCGAGGCCAUCAGGCGCCCAGCGGAGGAGGCCAGACUGUACCACGGACCCAUCGAGUCAACGGGAGUGGACGACUCCUGGAACCCGAUAACACUAGAACCCGGUGUUAGGUGAUCCAGGCUGAUGGUGACCUUCCCAAGCUGUUGCAGCAGUACGAGCGGAAGCGAGCGCAGAUGUUCACCCAGUCCAGUGUGCAGUACUGAGCAAGCCGGUGGAGGAAGAGCGACAUGACUGUUUGAUGGAUUGAUGAGUUGUACACAUGAAUAAAAGAAAAGAAGAA